CAGAGUUAUCUAACUCCCAAACCCAUGUGAACUUACCAUUAUGUUGCUUCGGUCGACCCUCCUCGGGGGGCCGGCCGGAGGUUUUUAACUCUUGACGUUUGAUGUCUCUCUGAGUAACUUUAUAAAUAAAGUCA
rnacentral:misc_RNA from 1 species